GGAGACGCAGACAGGCCGCAUGUGUCUUUUCGUCGGGUGCGUCGUUGCACAGCCACCGUGCCCAGAGGUGGCUGUAGCGGCAAGCGCACUCGACUUUAUCGACACUUUUAAACUGCGCUCCGGCCUUGAGGAGCAGCGACACACAACGCAAUUGGCCAUGGGCGAGGGCUAUGCGCAGCACAUUGUCCUUGCAUGGUGCGCCUUUUGACACGCGAUUAAGCGCGUCCAGAGCCGCGGCGUCGACGGGAAACUGUGCGGCAAAGCGCCAGAGAUGCGCGUCCAACUCGCCGCUCGGCGGGCGCGUGGAAAGGAGGCAAUCGACAUGGCCAAGGGCGAGGGCACGCUCGCACGCGCGCUUCCUCUUUCUUUGGCGAUCGAACCAGCCCGCCGCGGUCAUGGUAGGCGAAUGGGUCUCGACGCACGAGGAUCGGCCCGUGGCACCGCGAUCGCUUGCCACAGCGCGCCAUCUCUUGCAUACCGGCACGACCCACCGCAGCCGCUCGAUGCAAGAUAGAGGGGCGAAAAGGAGGGCCAACACCUCGUCGGGCAGGUCGUCCAUGGUGUUUCUGUUGGCGCACAACAGCAAAAAAAAGGCGAGCCAAAAAAGCCUCGCUAUUCUGC
rnacentral:lncRNA from 1 species